CACCAGACUCCUACGGGAGGCAGCAGUGGGGGAUAUUGCACAAUGGGGGAAACCCUGAUGCAGCGACACCGCGUGGGUGAAGAAGCGCCUCGGCGCGUAAAGCCCUGUCAGCAGGGAAGAAAAUGACGGUACCUGAAGAAGAAGCCCCGGCUAACUACGUGCCAGCAGCCGCGGUAAUACGUAGGGGGCAAGCGUUAUCCGGAUUUACUGGGUGUAAAGGGAGCGUAGACGGCGAUGCAAGUCUGAAGUGAAGGCCCGGGGCUCAACCCCGGGACUGCUUUGGAAACUGUAUGGCUGGAGUGCUGGAGAGGCAAGCGGAAUUCCUAGUGUAGCGGUGAAAUGCGUAGAUAUUAGGAAGAACACCAGUGGCGAAGGCGGCUUGCUGGACAGUAACUGACGUUGAGGCUCGAAAGCGUGGGGAGCAAACAGGAUUAGAUACCCGCGUAC
rnacentral:rRNA from 1 species